AGGACGAACGCUGGCGGCGUGCUUAACACAUGCAAGUCGAGCGGAAAGGCCCUUCGGGGUACUCGAGCGGCGAACGGGUGAGUAACACGUGAGUAACCUGCCCCUAGCUCUGGGAUAGCUCCGGGAAACCGGGAUUAAUACCAGAUACGACCACUUUAGACAUCUUUUGUGGUGGAAAGGAUUCCGGCUAGGGAUGGGCUCGCGGCCUAUCAGCUUGUUGGUGGGGUAACGCCUACAAGGCGACGACGGGUAG
rnacentral:rRNA from 1 species